CAAAGGGCCAAGAAGGCAUUCAUGAGUCUGUCCACUCAGCCCACAUGGAUUAUGCAUCUAUUACGAGCCAGGGAAAGCUGCUAGGUGGUGGGAAUACAGAGAUUGGAAAAGAGAAAUCUUCCUGAGGUCUCAGGGGAGACAGACCAACGCAGAGAGUGAUGAAUAUUCCGACAGAGUUGGAGUGAUAAUAAGUGUUUCAUCUCAUUAGCUGUCUGAUCUCCAGGACAACCAUAUGCGUAGGUAACUACCAUCCUUCAACAUGCAGUUCAGAUGUCACCUCCUCCAGGAAGCCUGCUCUGACUCCUGCCCCCAUCCAGUGCAUGCUGAUGCUCCUUCUACGAUCCCCUAUAAUGCCCUGCUGCUCUGUUAGCCUCAAUUACAUUCUCUUCUAACUUCUUAGCACCCUCUCUCAUAAUUGUCUGCUCAAUCAUUCGCCUGACUUCCUCACUGCCCCACGACAAUUUUGAAGGCAGGAAUUCUAUGUCCCGUUUCACGUCACAGAGCCUGGCACAUGGUAGGUUGUGGAACCAAUAAACAUUUCUAUACAGGUGGGCACCUGCUCCAAGUGUCUAUGUGUCAAGAUAACAGUAGUGUAUCACACUCUCAAUUUGUUGUCCUCGCUAAAUGUUCCAUGUGUGCAUUGCUACAACACUUUGAAGAUGAAGCUCUGUAAAGAAUGUAGAUUAGAUUCAGUCUUUGAACACUGUCAAAAUUAUGUAAAUACCACCAAUCACGUCAAGUAGACAAUUCUAAAAUAUUCAGCAAACAGAGUUGUUGCCACAUUUUUCCUUUCAACUAAAUCUGAAGAAAACGUGGUUUCAGUGUGUGAUCUGAAGCGAU
rnacentral:lncRNA from 1 species